CCGGGCGGUGCUGCGGCCGCCCCCGCUCCCAGCAGCCCUUGCAGCCGCCUACAAUGAAAUUUGCGAAGUUUUUUCGGUUUCGGCGCCAUUUUCGAGUGGACUCGGAGGAAAUUUGAAUAUCCUGGCAAAGUCCGGCUUCCCCCGGCAGCCUUGCAGCACUCCGGGAGCUGCAGUGAUGGAGCAACGUGUGCAGCACUGGGGCUUUUCCCUCUCGAAUUGAUCCUAAAUACAGUAUUUUUCCCAACUAUGCAUCAGUGUUGAGAAAAAACUGUGGAUCCUGGAAUUUUGCUGUGGAUUUUACUGGUUUUCUGAAGUACUGUAAGUUGAAGUCUUGUCCCGCAGGCCCUCACGAGCACCAGUAGCUCCUCGCCAGAACAACACCCUCGCCCUGGUGAAUACAGCUGAUCCUGCUGGUAACAGUAUCGGGGUCGAGUUUCACAUGGGGUGAAGUUAACGAAUUAAUUUUUUGCGUUGUUUGAAUUCGCCCUUUGUAGCUGCAGUUUGGUUUUGGGUGUUCGGCCCCACCUAAGAGCGUGUGUGGUUUAGUGCGGGAGGUGCGCCGUGCUGGGUUUUACACGAACCACUUGCUGCUUCUCCGGCCUUUUUUUUUAUGGUUAAAUCAGUGAGGAGAAAAAUUUAUUUUUUUUUUAAUCGAGCGCGUGAGAAAUUAUUCGCUCCCACACAGCUUCGACCGUGGCGGACGGGGAGGAAAAAAAAAAAACCCACCAUAUUUUCUGCAUUUAUUUUGUGGCGCCGGGAGUGAGUCUUAGCCGGGUGGGACACGUGCGAGGGCGAUUUCGGUGCGAUGUGAGCGCCGGGGAGAUGCGCUGGAGGUGCCGCACAAAUGAAAGUAACUUGGCUGUGUGCGGUUCCCACGUCUGGCUGCUCGUGCUCCUUCACAGCCGCUUCUCUUCCCGCAGCCCUCGCUCGCCUUCAGCUGCCUGUCGGGGCUGGUCCUGUCGGGAAUGGAGUAGCUGGAAGCAUGUGGUGGUUGUCGAUCAAGCAUCGGGUCUGAUCCCUGCUGCUGGCCACAUCUGUAAAUAUUAGGAUGUGACUUCUGCUUAAAUUUCGCCGUUCAAAGGGAGGCAGGAACGAAGGUGGUGGGGUUUUUUUCAGAGCCAGGCAGAUAUGAAGUGUUUUGGUGGUGUUACUCACGCCCUUAUUUUCAUUUUGUCACCGUAGUUUCGUCUCGCUAAUGAGUGUCUGGGACCUUCAGCUGUAAUGAGAUGAUUUAUUUUAGUCUUUUCUGUAAAAUAGUAAAUGCCUUUUUUUUUUUUAUAAUUGUUUCAAAUGAGAACAAUGACUUCAGGAUUUGUUUGUGCAUGUCUCCUGGAAAACUGUUCGAUAGCAGAGUUGGGGGUUUUGUUCCUGUUUUUUAUAUAGAAAGGAAAUGCUGAAUAUUUACUUGUCUUUGAGCUCACCUAGCCCUGCAGUGUGUGGGUCAGUAAAGGCUCUGUAUGCAAAUCUGUCCUGUCAUGGGCUCCUGUAUUUAUUUCCUUUCCUUUCCCAGGGCGCUCCUUCUCACAUUUUUUUUCCUUCUCUUUUUUUUCUGGUUACAGUGUCAGUGAGGAGGGACGAGGUUGUAUUUUAAGGGAAUCCUGUAUUUCAGGGGGAAUUUGUUUUGGUUUUGUGCGUGUGUUUGUGACUGGAGCAAGGCGGGGGGGGCGGGUGUUUUUUACUUAAUUGCCCAAUAUACUUUGGCAAGCAGAAGUUGCAUUGUUUUGUGGACUGCAUUAAUGGAUUUCUGCAUGUUCAAAUUCCCCAGUUAUUUGGGGGAUUUAAUUAAACCUCUGUAGGCGGCUGGCUCAUGGAGAUGACAGGUAGAAGUUUCUAUUUCUAGAGAUAGCUGGUGUACACACUGCGGGUGUGGAGCUCGUGGCUGUUGCGAAGCUUUUGCAUUGAGGUGGAGCUUUUGGGGCAGUUCUCAUAUUUGGGGCUACCAGUACAGUGGGACACCCCCAUUCCUGGCCGUGGUGGGAUGCUGCUCCAGGGUUGGGAGCGCUCCCAGGUGCUGCCUCCCUGUGACAGCGAGGGGCUGAGCACCCAAUAGUGCCACCACAGAAGCCCCAACACCCAGACAACCUCUGUGCAUCUUACCUGCUUGUCCUAGGCCUGGUUUACCACCUAAACCAGCACAAAUAAGAUGUUUCCUUUGCUUCUUGUCUGCCAGGACCAAUAGGUAGUUCUUGCUGCUGCUGUUUUAACCCUUCAGGGAGGGGAGGUGGGCUUGCUGCCAACCAUGGUUGUGCCCAGUGCUUUUCCACCCACCCCAGAGCUGCUGCUGGGUUUGUGUGGCUCAUCCCUCUUUGAUACAGAGGGUUAUGAUUCCGGGUUAGCAGUGUGCCUUGGGUACCACUGCCUGGAGUCACCCAUCGGUGCCAGUGGUGCCGGUAGCCCUGGCUGCAGGAAUGGGGAGAACAGGGAGAAGAGGGAUGCAAUCACUCUUUAAGUUCUGCUUCAUUGUCUGCCCUGUCUGGAGCUGAAAACUCGAUAAUUUUUAAUUUUUCCCCUGAUUUUAGAAAUAUUUGUGCCCAUCUGAGCCUUUGUGGUCUGUGUGUCCCUGGGGAGGGGCCCUGCCCCACAGCCCCAGUCCCCCCUCCUGCAGCGUGGCGGUGCCUCUGCCAGCGCCUCGUAAACCCUUCUGUGUGUUGCUUUGUAGUUCCCACUGAAGCAGCAAUUGCCUGAUUGUGUCCAUGGAGUCGGUGCAGGAGGAGCUGACGUGCUUGUGUUCAGAGGUGAGUUGGGAAGGUAAGCUCGUGUGUCCCACCUGCUCCGAAAUACCUGCGGCAUCUGCAUCCCUCUGGGUAAGCACAGCGUCCUCUGAAAUCCAUAUCCCUUUUUGAGUACUGCAGGUGAUGCCUUGGAGAGGUCGAGAUAAGCUCAAAUCAUCCUGUUCAGCUGCCCAUUUCUGAUUGAAAGUUGAGAUUCCAUAGCACAAACUGAGUUUGAAGCGCGAGAUGAGAUGAUCCAAACACAGAACUUUCUAUUGCUUAAGAUAAUGAUUCUGUCAUGUCAUAAACACGCAUAUUUUCUCAGAUACGUAUUUCACUGCCUAUCCCAAAUUUCCACUUGCCCAAUACUCAGUGUGAAUGAUUUUUCCCUCUGUGCUAGAGGCUGGCAGAGGUGUACUCAGCCCUUGCUUUGGAAAGUCAUUGCUGAAGACAGCUGUUGCCCUCUUUGUUGAACUAGGCAAAAGUUUGGUUUAUAUAUAUAAAAACAUUAAUUAAAACAUGAACCUCAAACACCAUCAAAAUGGAUUCUAGAGCUAA